CGCGCUGCAGAAUAUUAUAUAUGAGCACUUCUGAAAUAAAUGUCCUAAUAUCUAAUAUUACCAUUAUACCUUUACUCUCCUCUCUUCACUAAAAUACUAACACUACACACAGCGCGGCUCCCCCUCGCGCCACACACGCUUAGCCACUGAUCUCAUUUCCCGUGCCUCACUUCCUCCGGAGGCGUCCGCGAGCCAGUUCGAGGCGGUCGGAGUCGCAGGGUGCGCGCGCUCCGUCAUCACGGCGUUACCGGGCAACUUCAGCACGGACCGCGCGGACACCACGGACCCCUCAGCUGCCGCUGUUCUCCCCCCACGACCGGCCUCUCCUUCAGCGCGGCGGCCCCCCGCUCCACCAUGAGUCCGAGCUGAUCUCCAGUCCGGGGGUUCUGGGGGUCCAGGUCUGCAUCGUGAGCGAGCGUGUGAGCUCUUCCAGAGGAAGGAGCUGCCUCGGGCCUCGUGCCCCAGGUUCUAAGGUCAGCAGCAGUGUCCAGUGGAGAGGAGGUGGAUCAGGAGGGCGUGAUGGAGAAGGAGGAGCUGAAGAUCGUUAAUAAAGGACUGGAGGAUGAGAUGGUGAGCUUCUUACCUGGACCUUUUUUUGUAGUUUUUGUAUUUAUAUGUAUUCUAUUAAUUUGAAC
rnacentral:lncRNA from 1 species